rnacentral:rRNA from 1 species
UACGAGGGGGGCGAGCGUUGUUCGGAUUUACUGGGCGUAAAGGGCGGGUAGGCGGCCACCGCAAGUCAGUUGUGAAAUCUCUGGGCUUAACCCAGAAAGGUCAACUGAUACUGCGGGGCUAGAGUGCAGAAGGGGCAACUGGAAUUCUCGGUGUAGCGGUGAAAUGCGUAGAUAUCGAGAGGAACACCUGCGGCGAAGGCGGGUUGCUGGGCUGACACUGACGCUGAACUGCGAAAGCUAGGGGAGCGAACGGG